rnacentral:rRNA from 1 species
UACGUAGGGUGCAAGCGUUGUCCGGAAUUAUUGGGCGUAAAGCGCUCGCAGGUGGUUCGUCGCGUCGUGCGUGAAAGACCCCGGCUCAACUGGGGGAGGUCGUGCGAUACGGGCGAACUGGAGGCCAGUAGGGGGAUGCGGAAUUCCGGGUGUAGUGGUGGAAUGCGUAGAGAUCCGGAGGAACACCAGCGGCGAAGGCGGCAUCCUGGACUGGUCCUGACACUCAUGAGCGAAAGCGUGGGGAGCGAUCCGG